rnacentral:lncRNA from 1 species
GCGAAGCUGGAACCGGAGGAGGUGAGUAUGUCGGGUAGCUUGCUGGCGGAGGAGGCGAUUGAUGGUAUUCUACUGGUGGAGGUGGUGGCGGAGAUGACUGCUGGUAGUAAGGUGGUGGGUGAGAUUCAGCCGGUGGCGGAGGAGGUGGCGGAGAUGACUGUGGGUAGUAAGGAGGUGGGUAAAUCUCAGCCGGUGGUGGUGGCGGCGACGGAGAUGAGUAAACUGGCGGUGGUGGGGAGUAAACAGGUGGCGGCGGCGGUGGGGAGUAAACGGGUGGUGGCGGCGGUGGGGAGUAAACUGGUGAGGAGGUGGCGAAAAAACUGGUGGAGGAGGCGACGGGGGUGGAGGAGGUGGGGAGUAAACCGGUGGGGGAGGAGCAUGACGGGUCCCCGGUGAAACUUUCUCCGUAGGUGGUGGUGUUGGCUGGCGAGAAGGAGCCGGUGAAGGCUGUUGGACAGGGGAAGGUGGAGGCGGUGGUG